GACGAACGCUGGCGGCGUGCCUAAUACAUGCAAGUUGAGCGCUGAAGGUUGGUACUUGUACCAACUGGAUGAGCCGCGAACGGGUGAGUAACGCGUGGGGAAUCUGCCUUUGAGCGGGGGACAACAUUUGGAAACGAAUGCUAAUACCGCAUAAAAACUUUAAACACAAGUUUUAAGUUUGAAAGAUGCAAUUGCAUCACUCAAAGAUGAUCCCGCGUUGUAUUAGCUAGUUGGUGAGGUAAAGGCUCACCAAGGCGAUGAUACAUAGCCGACCUGAGAGGGUGAUCGGCCACAUUGGGACGGAGACACGGCCCAAACGCCUACGGGAGGCAGCAGUAGGGAAUCUUCGGCAAUGGACGAAAGUCUGACCGAGCAACGCCGCGUGAGGGAAGAAGGUUUUCGGAUCGUAAAACUCUGUUGGUAGGGAAGAACGUUGGUGAGAGUGGAAAGCUCAUCAAGUGACGGUAACUACCCAGAAAGGGACGGCUAACUACGUG
rnacentral:rRNA from 1 species